CGGGAGCCCCAGAGCCGGGGGCGCCCCUCGGCCCCUCCCCGCCCCCCCCCCGCCCGCGGGCCCCGCCGCCGUCCGCCUGGCCUCUCGGGGGGCAGGGCGGCCCGGCUCCUGGAGGGCUAGAACAGCCCGUCCCGUCCCGGGGAGGCUGCCCGCUGCCCCUCUGCGGGAUUCCCGCUUCAGGAUUUCUCUGCUGAUUUUGCGGGGGGCUUCGCGCUUGACGGCCCCGGACUGUCUGCUUCCGGAGGAGAUUGCAUGCUGUGUAACUGUAGAUUUUGUGCGGCUUGUUUGUUUUCUUCUUCAUGUGGGGUACAACCCCAAGCUAGGAUUGGUGGCUUAGUGUCCUGUGGAGCCAGAAAAUUAAUUUCUAUUCCCCAAACUGUCAUUAAGGCUUCCUCUGCCACGGGGACCCUGCUUCUGCUUUGCUCCUUCUUCAUCUAAGCCAGGGGAUGUGUCUAAGACAGUGUUUCUCAACCUGGGCAACUUUCAGAUGUGUGGACUUCAACUCCCAGAAUUCCCCAGCCAGCAAAGCUGAAAGUUGCCCAGGUUGAGAAACACUCAUCUAAGAUCUUCUCUAGCUAGAAGGAAGCCAAAGGGAAACCACAUGUGGCCCAGCCUCCCCACUUUGCUUGUCGGGGUCCAGUCCCAGCAGAGGGAGGAAAGGCGGUUACAUUUUAACUUCCUUGCUUGCAAAAAUUUUUUCCUUUCUUUGCCGGUAUAGUGAAAGGAGGACACCCUGUUUCCACUUUGUGGAAACAGAUGCCAGCGUUUCAGAGAGGACGGAUUGGGGGAAGAAGCUGAUCAAAAUGCAUUUGUGCACAUUCAUGUGCUCCUUUUACACCUAGGUAGACCAUGGGCCUACACUGUGGAGGCUUCACACCUAUUGGUUACUCUUGGGUGUCAUCUGUUGGACCUCUGUUAGUCUCUAGACAAAUGCUACAUUAGGUGAUGUUUUCUAUGGGUCAGGAAGUCAUCAAAGAUAAUAGACCACUCCUAAAAUAUAUAUCUGACAAUGACAAUAUAUCAAAGUGGUAAAGAGCGUCUGCCUUUUAGGAUCAACCAUCAACAGUAAAGACAAAGAAUACGCUGCAGACUGACACUUGGUGGAGCAGCCUUGAAGGCCUCGGAAAAAAUAUUCAAAUGCUGUGAUUUGUCUCUGCCCACAAAGAUCAGAACAAUGCAGGGAAUGGUAUUACUUGUGGCACUCUAUGGAAGCAAAAGUUGGGACUUUGAAGAAGCAGGAUAGAAAGAGCAUUGAUGCUUUUGAACUUUGGUGUUGGAGAAGACUCCUGAGAAGACUGUGGACAGCCAAGAAAACAAACCAAUGGAUCAUCAAACAAAUUGAUCCAGAGUUUCCACUUGAAGCACAAAUGACCAGGCUCAGAUUACCCUACUUUGGACACAUUAUGCAAAGACCUAGCUCUUUGGAGAAGGCUCUAGUGGAAAAGGUGUGAAGAAAGGGAAGAAGAGGACAACCAGCAGCAAGGUGGAUGGUCUCAGUUACAGUGGCGAUGGGGGCACCGUUGGAAGACCUGAAGGAUUAGUUGUUCUGUGCUAUACCUGCCGCUGGAGCUAGUCAUGAAGGUUUUCUAACCUUCUCAAGUGGGCCCUGGGAGUGGAAGCCUUCAGAAGGACUGAUGUAAGACAUUGCAUGCAUGUAACUGCGCAGGCACUGGCAGGAUGGGACAUGAGGACUAGCAACGUUCAUUGCAGCUGCAGAAGCUUGUGAGAAAGAGGUCUAAGGUGACAAGUGGCUCAGAGGUCUGUGGAUAUUAACCAUCCAAGUCUGUUUAACAGUGUACUUUUUUCCUGUCCUGAAGGCAGAUAAGAGGAUCCAUGAAAUUAAAACUCACCAUGAGAUUUUAAUUAAAAUCUUUGCCUUGCCUUGCAGGCCAGGAAGCCAGCUUUAGCGAGCUUGUUACUGCUGCUGCUGCUGCAGGGAUAAGAAGAAAGUGAUUGACACCUGGUGCCCCAUUUGAAAACAUCCUUCCUAUUCUUUGAUCAUGUCUUUCCAAGAAGUUAUUGAAAUAAAAUCCUAGUGCUUUACA